GACGAACGCUGGCGGCGUGCUUAACACAUGCAAGUCGAACGGGAUUUAGUAGACAGAAGCCUCGGCUAAAGAUUACUAAUGAGAGUGGCGAACGGGUGAGUAACGCGUGAGCAACCUGCCUAUGACAGUGGGAUAGCCUCGGGAAACCGGGAUUAAUACCGCAUAAAAUCGUAGAAACACAUGUUUCAACGGUCAAAGAUUUAUCGGUCAUAGAUGGGCUCGCGUCUGAUUAGCUAGUUGGUGAGAUAACAGCCCACCAAGGCGACGAUCAGUAGCCGGUCUGAGAGGGUGAACGGCCACAUUGGAACUGAGACACGGUCCAAACUCCUACGGGAGGCAGCAGUGGGGAAUAUUGCACAAUGGGGGAAACCCUGAUGCAGCGACGCCGCGUGAACGAAGAAGGUAUUCGUAUCGUAAAGUUCUGUCCUAUGGGAAGAUAAUGACAGUACCAUAGAAGAAAGCUCCGGCUAAAUACGUG
rnacentral:rRNA from 1 species